rnacentral:tRNA from 1 species
GCGCUGUAAUCCUGCCUGAAAAGCAGGGGAUGCGGGUUCAAUUCCCGCAUGGCACG